AUUGAACGCUGGCGGCAGGCCUAACACAUGCAAGUCGGACGGUAGCACAGGGGAGCUUGCUCCUCGGGUGACGAGUGGCGGACGGGUGAGUAAUGUCUGGGGAUCUGCCCGAUAGAGGGGGAUAACCACUGGAAACGGUGGCUAAUACCGCAUAAUGUCGCAAGACCAAAGAGGGGGACCUUCGGGCCUCUCACUAUCGGAUGAACCCAGAUGGGAUUAGCUAGUAGGCGGGGUAACGGCCCACCUAGGCGACGAUCCCUAGCUGGUCUGAGAGGAAGACCAGCCAAACUGGGACUGAGACACGGUCCAGACUCCUACGGGAGGCAGCAGUGGGGAAUAUUGCACAAUGGGCGCAAGCCUGAUGCAGCCAUGCCGCGUGUAUGAAGAAGGCCUUCGGGUUGUAAAGUACUUUCAGCGGGGAGGAAGGCGAUGUGGUUAAUAACCGCGUCGAUUGACGUUACCCGCAGAAGAAGCACCGGCUAACUCCGUGCCAGCCGCCGCCGUAA
rnacentral:rRNA from 1 species